rnacentral:rRNA from 1 species
GGGGAAUUUUCCGCAAUGGGCGAAAGCCUGACGGAGCAAUACCGCGUGAGGGAGGAAUGCCUUUGGGUUGUAAACCUCUUUUCUCAGGGAAGAAGAUCUGACGGUACCUGAGGAAUAAGUAUCGGCUAACUCCGUGCCAGCAGCCGCGGUAAUACGGAGGAUGCAAGCGUUAUCCGGAAUCAUUGGGCGUAAAGCGUCCGCAGGUGGUUUCCAAAGUCUGCUGUUAAAGACUGGAGCUCAACUCCGGAACGGCGGUGGAAACUUGGAAACUAGAGUUCGGUAGGGGUAGCAGGAAUUCCCAGUGUAGCGGUGAAAUGCGUAGAUAUUGGGAAGAACAUCGGUGGCGAGGGCGUGCUACUGGACCGUAACUGACACUCAGGGACGAAAGCUAGGGGAGCGAAAGGGAUUAGAUACCCCUGUAGUCCUAGCUGUAAACGAUGGAAACUAGGUGUGGCUUG